rnacentral:rRNA from 1 species
AUGUGUGUUACAGAGGAGAAAGGAUGGAUGGGUUUCAGUGAUAUUCAUAGUUUUAACUUAGCACUGUUAGCUAAGCAGUGUUGGAGAUUCAUUGACAACUCUGACUCCUUAUGUGCUAGAGUUUUGCGAGCCAGAUACUACGCAGAUGGAGAUAUCCUGAAUUGUGAGUUGAAGAAGGUAUCAUCUUUUGUAUGGCAAGGUAUAUGGGCGGGAAUUUAA